rnacentral:tRNA from 1 species
CCUCCUUAAGAAAUGUACGAGUGUUCACACAAGUUGUUUGAUAAUAUUAAAGAAAGAGAAAAAGACCAAUAACCCAAAUUCAAUUUAAUUGAUAUUAAGGGUCUGUAGCUCAGUUGGUUAGAGCGCACCCCUGAUAAGGGUGAGGUCGGUGGUUCAAAUCCACCCAGACCCACCAUAUUUUUUCUGGGUUAUUAGUUUUCUAUUGGGGCUAUAGCUCAGCUGGGAGAGCGCCUGGUUUGCAUCCAGGAGGUCAGCAGUUCGAUCCUGCUUAGCUCCACCAUUUUUCUCAAAUGAAAACUUAAAUAAGAUUUAUUUAUAUGUCUUAUUUAAGUUUUUAUACCAAGCCUUGGUUUAUUCCUUGGUUCGGAGCUCUUUAACAAUUUGGAUAUGAAGUAAAGUUUGUUAAAUACAAUACAACGUAAAAGGUGUAUUGCAUUGACACAACAAUUUCAAAAAAUAUGGAUUCUCAUUGAUAGAUUUAUCUAUCAUUGAAAAAUAGAAUUCACCGAUUGUUA